rnacentral:rRNA from 1 species
AACGAACGUUGGCGGCAGGCCUAACACAUGCAAGUCGAGCGAGGACUUCGGUCCUAGCGGCGGACGGGUGAGUAACGCGUGGGAACGUGCCCUUUGCUUCGGAAUAGCCCUGGGAAACUGGGAGUAAUACCGGAUGAGCCCUUUGGGGGAAAGAUUUAUCGGCGAAGGAUCGGCCCGCGUUGGAUUAGGUAGUUGGUGGGGUAAUGGCCUACCAAGCCGACGAUCCAUAGCUGGUUUGAGAGGAUGAUCAGCCACACUGGGACUGAGACACGGCCCAGACUCCUACGGGAGGCAGCAGUGGGGAAUCUUAGACAAUGGGGGAAACCCUGAUCUAGCCAUGCCGCGUGAGCGAUGAAGGCCUUAGGGUUGUAAAGCUCUUUCAGCUGGGAAGAUAAUGACGGUACCAGCAGAAGAAGCCCCGGCUAACUCCGUG